UACGAAGGGGGCUAGCGUUGUUCGGAAUUACUGGCGUAAAGCGUGCGCAGGCGGUUCGCUAAGACCGAUGUGAAAUCCCGGGCUUAACCUCGGGAACUGCAUUGGUGACUGGCGGGCUAGAGUAUGGCAGAGGGGGUAGGAAUUCCACGUGUAGCAGUGAAAUGCGUAGAGAUGUGGAGGAAUACCGAUGGCGAAGGCAGCCCCCCUGGGCCAAUACGUGACGCUCAUGCACGAAAGCGUGGGGGGAGCAAACAG
rnacentral:rRNA from 1 species